rfam:Candidatus Buchananbacteria bacterium RIFCSPHIGHO2_01_FTLL_47_11b rifcsphigho2_01_scaffold_35995, whole genome shotgun sequence.
GCCGAAGUGGCGGAACUUGGUAGACGCGCACGGUUCAGAGCCGUGUGGGAGCAAUCCCGUGGAGGUUCAAGUCCUCUCUUCGGCA